rnacentral:lncRNA from 1 species
GUUAUCAAGAAGUUCAGAUUCUGAUGAAGAAGGAAGAAUUGACCCAUGAAAAGUCAAUCUUUUAUAAUAUUUUUGAAAAGGAACACAGCACAAAGGGUAGACUGGCUUCUGAGAAAAUGCAUGCCAGGAAUUUCAGUAUCUGAUGUGGUGGUGACAGAAAGAAAGAGACAUUACCAAGAAGGAAUUCAGAUAAGAGACAAACCACAUUUUGAUUACUACCAACUUACUGAAUUGGAAGUGGAGGUCGAUUUGGGAGGAAAGCUGUGGCCAUAAACAUUGAAGAAGACGAGCAGAUUCUUUGUGACAUUGAGACUUUGU